ensembl:misc_RNA Metazoa_SRP Metazoan signal recognition particle RNA
ACUGGGUGCAGCGGGGCAUGCCUGCAGUCACAGCUGCUGGAGAGGCUGAGGCGGGAACAGUGCUGGAGCCCAGAAGCUCUGGGCUGUAGUGUACUGUGACCAUUAGGUGUCUACACUAAGAGAAUCGGAGGGCCACCAGGCUGCCUAAGGAGGAGUAAACCAGUCCAGGUCAGAAACUGAGCAGGUCAAAACUCCUGUGCUGAUGACUAAUGGGAUGUCACCUGUGAAUAGCUACUGUACUCCAGCCUGGGCAACAUUGCAAGACCCUGUCUCUA